rnacentral:rRNA from 1 species
UACAGGGGGUGCAAACGUUGCUCGGAAUUAUUGGGCGUAAAGCGCGCGUAGGCGGCUACUUAAGUCGGAUGUGAAAGCCCUUGGCUCAACUGAGGAAGUGCACCCGAAACUGAGUGGCUUGAGUACGAAAGAGGGUCGCGGAAUUCCCGAUGUAGAGGUGAAAUUCGUAGAUAUCGGGAGGAACACCGGUGGCGAAGGCGGCGACCUGGGUCGAUACUGACGCUGAUGCGCGAAAGCGUGGGGAGCAAACAGG